rnacentral:rRNA from 1 species
GAUGAACGCUGGCGGCGUGCCUAAUACAUGCAAGUCGAGCGAACAGACGAGGAGCUUGCUCCUCUGACGUUAGCGGCGGACGGGUGAGUAACACGUGGAUAACCUACCUAUAAGACUGGGAUAACUUCGGGAAACCGGAGCUAAUACCGGAUAAUAUAUUGAACCGCAUGGUUCAAUAGUGAAAGACGGUUUUGCUGUCACUUAUAGAUGGAUCCGCGCCGCAUUAGCUAGUUGGUAAGGUAACGGCUUACCAAGGCAACGAUGCGUAGCCGACCUGAGAGGGUGAUCGGCCACACUGGAACUGAGACACGGUCCAGACUACUACGGGAGGCAGCAGUAGGGAAUCUUCCGCAAUGGGCGAAAGCCUGACGGAGCAACGCCGCGUGAGUGAUGAAGGUCUUCGGAUCGUAAAACUCUGUUAUUAGGGAAGAACAAAUGUGUAAGUAACUAUGCACGUAUUGACGGUACCUAAUCAGAAAGCCACGGCUAACUACGUG